rnacentral:rRNA from 1 species
GACGAACGCUGGCGGCGUGCCUAAUACAUGCAAGUGGGACGCAAGGAAACACACUGUGCUUGCACACCGUGUUUUCUUGAGUCGCGAACGGGUGAGUAACGCGUAGGUAACCUGCCUAUUAGCGGGGGAUAACUAUUGGAAACGAUAGCUAAUACCGCAUAAUAUUAAUUAUUGCAUGAUAAUUGAUUGAAAGAUGCAAGCGCAUCACUAGUAGAUGGACCUGCGUUGUAUUAGCUAGUUGGUAAGGUAAGAGCUUACCAAGGCGACGAUACAUAGCCGACCUGAGAGGGUGAUAGGCCACACUGGGACUGAGACACGGCCCAGACUCCUACGGGAGGCAGCAGUAGGGAAUCUUCGGCAAUGGACGAAAGUCUGACCGAGCAACGCCGCGGGAGUGAAGAAGGUUGUCGGAUCGUAAAGCUCUGUUGUAAGUCAAGAACGUGUGUGAGAGUGGAAAGUUCACACAGUGACGGUAGCUUACCAGAAAGGGACGGCUAACUACGUG